CGAAGUUGUAAUUUGAAGAAGGUGACUUUGGAGCUGAUCAAAGUCUAUGUUCCUUGGAACAAGACGCCUUAGAGGGUGAGAAUCCCGUGUGGCGAGGAUCUAUUCUCAUUGUAAAGUGCUUUGGACGAAUCGAGUUGUUUGGGAAUGCAGCUCUAAGUGGGUGGUAAAUUCCAUCUAAAGCUAAAUAUUGACGAGAGACCGAUAGCGAACAAGUACAGUGAUGGAAAGAUGAAAAGCACUUUGAAAAGAGAGUGAAAAAGUACGUGAAAUUGUUAAAAGGGAAGGGUAUUGAAUCAGACAUGGUGUUUGCUUCGGGUUCUCCUGGGCCAGGGUCAGUUUUAGCGGUUGGGGAAAUGAAAAAGAAUGUGGCUCUGCUCUCUUCGAGUGUUAUAGCCUAGUUUAUUAACUCCUCAGUCGCCUGAGGAUUGGGACUUCUGUCAAGGACUUUGGCGUAAUGGUUCUAUACCGCCCGUCUUGAAAACACGGACCACG
rnacentral:rRNA from 1 species